rnacentral:misc_RNA from 1 species
UUUCCGUAGGUGAACCUGCGGAAGGAUCAUUAAAGUUAUAGUCCCCCGGCCCCUCCGGGCUGGGGUCUUCUAUACCACCCUUUGUUUAUUACACCUUUGUUGCUUUGGCAGGCCUGCCCUUGGGCUGCUGGCUCCGGCCGGCUCGUGCCUGCCAGAGGACCUAAACUCUGUUUGUAUAUGAAGUCUGAGUACUAUAUAAUAGUUAAAACUUUCAACAACGGAUCUCUUGGUUCUG